CGCUCUUUGUAGUAUUUAAAUAGAGAGUCGUGCCUGCCCAGUGAAGAAAAUUUAACGGCCGCAGUACCCUGACUGUGCUAAGGUAGCAUAAUCACUUGCCUUUUAAUUGGAGGCUAGAAUGAAUGGCUUGACGAGAAUUUAGCUGUCUCUUUUACAUUAUAUAAAAAUUAUUUUUUAGGUGAAGAGUCCUGAAUUUAAUCAAAAGACGAAAAGACCCUGUCGAGCUUAAAACUUAAGGUUAAAUUUUUAUGUUUUGGAAUAACAAAUGUUAAAUUGUGGGUUUUUUGUUGGGGCGACAGAAGAACAAAAAAAGCUUCUUUUAAUUUAUAUAACUUAUUGGUUAAUAAGAUCUAUAAAAAAGUUGAUUAUAAUUUAAGAAAAGCUACCGCAGGGAUAACAGCGUAAUUUUUCUGAAAAGCUCAAAUUGAAGGAAAAGUUUGCGACCUCGAUGUUGGAUUAGAAAAUCGGACAGGUGAAGAAGCUUGUUUGGAAGGUCUGUUCGACCUUUAAAUUUCUACA
rnacentral:rRNA from 1 species